rnacentral:rRNA from 1 species
UACGGAGGAUGCGAGCGUUAUCCGGAUUUAUUGGGUUUAAAGGGUGCGUAGGCGGCUUUUUAAGUCAGCGGUGAAAUUUUGUAGCUUAACUGUAACAGUGCCGUUGAUACUGGGGAGCUAGGAUUUGGUUGCUGUGGGUGGAAUGUGUGGUGUAGCGGUGAAGUGCUUAGGGAUCACACAGAAUAUCGAUUGCGAAGGCAGCUCACAAAGCCAAGAUUGACGCUGAGGCACGAAAGUGUGGGGAUCAAACAGGAUUAGAUA